rnacentral:misc_RNA from 1 species
CCUCCUUACCAUUACGUCGAUAGACGCCUUGAUGCAGUGCCUACACAGAUAGUCUUGUUUUUAUUGAACAAUACUUAUGUUCUUUAACAAUUUGGAAAGCUGAUAUUAAUAGUAAUCAAUCAAAGUUGAGUAACUGAGAAAUCGAAAGAUGACUUUUUACUCUGCUUGACUGAAUUGCUUGUUAUCAAUCGAUGAUUUGAUAGCAAGGCAAUUCUUCCGAUUAGCUUGUCAUUCAUGCGACAUAACUUAGACAGAAGUCAAAAGGCUGUUUGGGGUUGUAUGGUUAAGUGACGAAGCGUAUACGGUGGAUGCCUUGGCAGUUAGAGGCGAUGAAGGACGUGUAAGCCUGCGAAAAGCUGUGGUGAGCCCGACAAAAUGCAUUUGAGCCACAGAUUUCCGAAUGGA